CAGAAAAAUCACCAAGUAGUCCAUCUUUCCUUUCUCUUUCGAUUUAAAAAUUCAAAUAUUCUUGAAACCCGCAAGAAAACCACGAUAAUAUUGAGUCAGAUUCAAACUUAUCUUGUCCCGAUCUACUACCUUCGUCGUUAGAUCGCCUAGGGUACUUAAUAUAUGGUUCUCCUUGACCGAAUAGAUCCUGUCACCGUUCAAAUUGUCUAAUGGAAUUCCAGAGCUUAAAACCCAAAUUCAAUUAGAGAUAAGUCCCCUUCUCUUUAUUUUUUUUUUCAAUCUCUUUUCCUGCUUUUAUGAAUAUUGGUUUUUCUCUUCUUUGUUUGCAGGUUUGGAUUAGCUUCUUCAAAACAGUUCAAUGGCUAAAGAGGUGGAGGUGGAAGCAGCAAUGGUGACAGUGAAAGUGUUGGAUGAUGAAGGAGAUGUUGUGUGGGAGAUGGUAGUAUUAGACAGUGAUUGGGGUUUUGAGUGGCUAAGGGUUGUGUCAAAUAUGACAAUGGUGAUGAGCGAUUUAGAGUUGAGAGAAGGGAUAAGAAAGGGGGUUGUGUGAACUUGUUGAUGGUGGUUUAGACAGUGAAUGGCGGGAAAGGUGAACAGUGAUAGAGAGGAAAAAAAUGAACAAAAAAAAAAAUUAAGAGAAAAAGAAGAAUGAACAAAAAAAUGAACAGUGUUUUGGAUGGAAGUUCUGAAUUUAUCUUUUUUGAAAAUUCUCUAGAAAUUAAAACUUCCCUCAACAAUGCAUGCAAGUUUGAUUUGGGAAGGAGGUAUUUUUGACAGAAAAAAGAGAGUUAUUACAAGCGACAUCAAAAUGUUCUGACCUAAGAUAUUUUUGAAGAUUCAUCAAAAUGCCCCUUGAAAUUUUUCUUUCAUAUUUUCUAAUUUAUUUUUUGUGAAAUUUCUAAAAAAAAAUCAUAGACUACAAGAACAGAUUGUGGGUUCUUUAUCCA